rnacentral:rRNA from 1 species
GUGUCAGCCGCCGCGGUAAUACGGAGGGUGCAAGCGUUAUCCGGAUUCACUGGGUUUAAAGGGUGCGUAGGUGGGCUAGUAAGUCCGUGGUGAAAUCCCCGAGCUUAACUCGGGAACUGCCGUGGAUACUAUUAGUCUUGAAUAUCGUGGAGGUAAGCGGAAUAUGUCAUGUAGCGGUGAAAUGCUUAGAUAUGACAUAGAACACCGAUAGCGGAGGCAGCUUACUACGCGAUUAUUGACACUGAGGCACGAAAGCGUGGGGAUCAAACAGGAUUAGAUACCCUGGUAGUCC